rnacentral:rRNA from 1 species
AUUGAACGCUGGCGGCAGGCCUAACACAUGCAAGUCGAGCGGAUGAAGGGAGCUUGCUCCUGGAUUCAGCGGCGGACGGGUGAGUAAUGCCUAGGAAUCUGCCUGGUAGUGGGGGAUAACGUCCGGAAACGGGCGCUAAUACCGCAUACGUCCUGAGGGAGAAAGUGGGGGAUCUUCGGACCUCACGCUAUCAGAUGAGCCUAGGUCGGAUUAGCUAGUUGGUGGGGUAAAGGCCUACCAAGGCGACGAUCCGUAACUGGUCUGAGAGGAUGAUCAGUCACACUGGAACUGAGACACGGUCCAGACUCCUACGGGAGGCAGCAGUGGGGAAUAUUGGACAAUGGGCGAAAGCCUGAUCCAGCCAUGCCGCGUGUGUGAAGAAGGUCUUCGGAUUGUAAAGCACUUUAAGUUGGGAAGAAAGGCAGUAAGUUAAUACCUUGCUGUUUUGACGGUACCCACAGAAUAAGCACCGGCUAACUUCGUG